rnacentral:rRNA from 1 species
GUCUUUUUGAUAAUAAUUUAAAGUCUAACCUGCCCAAUGAGGAGUUGAAUGGCCGCGGUAAUUUGACCGUGCAAAGGUAGCAUAAUCAUUAGUUUUUUAAUUGAAAGCUGGAAUGAAUGGUUGGACGAGAAAGUAGCUGUCUCUGUUUAAUUUAUAUUAGAAUUUUACUUUUAAGUAAAAAGGCUUAAAUUUUUUUAAAAGACGAGAAGACCCUAUAGAAUUUUAUAUUUUUUAUUAUUUAUGAUUAUAGGGAUUUCUUAGUUUAAAUAGUAAAAAAUAAUUGGUUGGGGUGAUAGAAAAAUUUAAUAAACUUUUUUUUUAUUUUAUCAUUAAUAUAUGAUUAAUUGAUCCAUUGAAGUAUGAUUAAAAGAUAAAAUUACCUUAGGGAUAACAGCGUAAUUUUUUUUGAGAGUUCUUAUCGAAAAAAGAGUUUGCGACCUCGAUGUUGGAUUAAAAUAAAUUUGUGGUGUAGGGGCUACAUAAUUAGGUCUGUUCGACCUUUAAAAUUUUACAUGAUCUGAGU